UACAAGGCCCCUUCUUCCCCAAGGACAAGUAAACAGGAAGAGAGUCCAUGCUCUGACCUUUGUUGAAGUGCUAGAGCUCCAGGAUUCCAGCUUUUGGGAGCCAUCAUCCAUGCUGGGGUUUUUGGUGAUACAGCUGCCUUUGAGUUUUCUCUGAUCCUCAUAUAUCAAAGACCAGCAUCUCUUCAGGAACCUUCCAGGACUCCAGCACCAGAAUGGGACUGUAGAGACAUCCAAUCUCGUGGACUUGACAACUACCAGACUCUUUCCUUUCCACUGGGAGACUGCUGUUGUUGGACUAUCUGGACCACAGCCUAUCCAGGGAAAUAAUCAUAGAAUGGAAUUGGGGACCUAUGGGCUCACAGUGAGAUGGACCAGACCGGACACUCUGUGGAUCUCCUUACCUGUGUUUCCAGAGAGGUCUAACCCAGCAGGAGUGAGUACCUUCCAGCAGGUGAGCCAGUACAAAAAAGCCUAAAGAAAAAGCAGUGUUGGCUGCCUGCCUUCCCUUGGUCUGGAGCCAGUGCCUGGCUCUGCUGCCACUGUCCUCUUCUGACAUCAGACUCAAGCUUCUUCAGCCUUCUUCCAACACGAACUGAACACUAGUGACUCUCCAGGAAUCUUCCAGACCUUCGGCACCAGGUUGGGACUGCUGAGGUGAUCAACUUUGUGGACUAAACAGCAUCUCUAGUGUCAUUUCUCCAAUUCUGCGAGAUGUUAAGAAUCUGCUUGUCUGACACCCAGAGAGAAAAGAGCAAGCCAUCUGGUGUUCCUGGUGCUGCAGCUGUGAGCGACCCCCAUUGCCACGGUGGACUGGGAGCCCUCCCAAAUGGUUCCUUCCUCCAGUUGUUUCUACCCGGCAUUUUGUCACAGCAAACAGGGACUGCACUCAGGUCACCAGGCUUGCAUGGGCCUGAUGGAAUAUGUGUGUAAUCCCAGCAGUUGGAAGGCUGAGACAAGAGGAACAUGAUUUCAAGACCAGCCUGGCCUACAUAACAAGUUCAAGUGAGACACAUCUGCUCCUGGCAGCACCAGUUUAGUUCAAAAGAGGAUAAAGAGCAUUGAAGAAACUCCAUAUGGAAUUUACUUUCAUUUGUGGCAAAGUUAGCCACUGGGCAAAGAAACUGCCCUUGCCUUGACUGCUAACAGAAUGCUGUCCAAUUUAGACACGCAGAACACAAAAGAAGGCAAUUGCUGAACUUUGCCAAGACGAGAUAGGACAGUCCUUCAAAUUCCUGCUUCACAGAAAAGUCUGUCAGAUACUCUAGGCCCAGGCUGAAGAUGGAUCCUUCAAAGUAGCAGAGGAACCUUGGGGUGAUUAGAUGUCUCUGUUUCUUAGUUUUGGAAGUUGCUUGCUCUACACUUUCUGUUUAUGCAGGUAAUAUUAUAUCCUUCUCAGGUCUUCAGUGGAGUUAAAGACUAAAUAGUUAUAGUUACAGUUUUCCUUGUUACCAAAUUCAGAAAAGAAACUCACAAAAGACAUAUAAAGUAUAUAAGGUUGAAAGACAUAAAAGCUUAAGUUGUUUAUCUAAGAAAAUAUUUUGAGGUCUAAAAAGAUAGUUUUAGGUUGGUAAUACAAGUUAGUAUAGAAAGUAAAUUAGGUACAAAACUUUUGACUCACCAAGAUAGGAUAGAUAAUGGAAUAUUUUCUCUGAAUUUUCCAAAUACAGAUAGACUGGACAUUGUAAAUGUAAUUCUUACCUGAUAAUUGUUCUUUGUACAUAGUUUUACUAUGUUGGAGUUAAAACCUUUCCUUUUUAUUUAGACAAAAAAGGAGAAAUGUUGUAGGAUAUUUUUUAUACACUGUGUGAAGAUAUAUUGCUGUGAUUGGUUUAAAGAGCUAAAAAACUAAAGAAUAGCUAGUAGCUAGGCAGGGGGGUAUAGGUGGGACUUCUUCCAGGCAGAGAGAGAGAGGGGAAGUAGGAGAUGAAUCUAAGCAUGAGAGAGAUGCCAGAAGAUGAGGAAUAAGUCAGACAUACAGAAAUGGAGAAGAGGUUAAAAAAAAAAAAAACAUGUGGUAGAUGUAGAUUAAUAGAAAUGGGUUAAGUUAUAAGAGCUAGUUGAGAGCAAGCCUAAGCUAAGGCCGAGCUUUCAUAAUUAAUAAGCUGUCUCUGUGUCAUUAUUUGAGAGCUGGCUGGCGGGACAGAGAAAGAUGUGUUACAAAGUAGGGUAGAUGCCAGCCUGGGAGGAAGGAAACAUGGUGGGACCUCUGAAAGGACUGAGUCUCAACAGAGGCUCACUCCUAGGAGUCCUGAGUCUUAAGGCGUCUUGCAAGCUCUGCUCCCGAGAGCCAGAAACCAGCUGUGGAUAGCAAGCUAGAUGGAGAAACUACAAAGCCUAUGAACAACAACAACCAGCCCAGAAAGAUACCCUCAGAGGUGCAAUAGUGUCACAUCUUGGUAGUAACCAACAACUGCCGAAUUGGCUCUGUGGCUUGAUCAACAGGAGGGAAUUCAGACCUGGUCCUAUAAACCUAGCCAACUACCUGUGGCUGGCGAACUCAUGGACGCUAGAAGAGAGCCUACCACAGCCGUUUUCUUAAACCAGUAUACUCUCUAACUGCAUUCUAAAUAUUUGUCCUUGUAUCCACAGGUUAAAUGUAGCUUAGUCCUCAUCAAAGAAGCUUCUUUUUACAGCAGAUGGAGACCAUUACAGAAAUCCACAAAUGUUCAAAAUGCAGAGAACAACUGACUGUGGAUUGCCCACCCCAGCUGACACAUUUAUAAGGCAAUCCCUACACUAAAGACUCAGGAAACAUGGAGUAAGAAGGGGCAAAAAGAUUAUAAGGGUCAGAGGAUCAGGAAGUCUGCUUCUAGAUUGUGUCUUCUAUAUAUGACCGAAAAGCUAUACCCAGGAAAUCUCAACCAUAUGGCUGACUAUACUUUUAAAUAAGAUAAGCAAUGAAAAUUUUUUGUCUGAAUUUGUCAAAUGUUACUGGACUAGACAUUGUUAAUAUAUAUAAUGGAGUUUUUUGUUUGAAUCUGUCAAAUGUUAAUGGACUAGACAUUGUUAAUGUAAUCUUGACUGUGUAUAUUGUAUAUACUUAUUGGAUAUAAUUUUUCUUGUAUUAGUUAUAAGCUUUUUUUAUUUUUAGACAAAAAGGGGGAAAUGUGGUGGUAUUGGGUUCUCCAAAAUAUUGUGCACCCUAAUAAACUUAUCUGGGGUCAGAGAACAGACAGCCACUAAAUACAAAGGCUAGAAAAUGGUGGCACUCACACCUUCAAUCCUAGCAUUCCAGAGACAGAAAUCCCUCUGGAUCUCUGUGAGUUCAAGGCCACAUUGGAAACAGCCAGGCAUGGUGACUCACGCCUUUAAUCCCAGAAAGUGAGCCUUUAAUCCCAGGGAGUGGUGGUAGAAAGCAAAAAGGUUUAUAAGGCGUGAGGACCAGAAACUAGAGGCAUUUGGCUGGUUAAGCAUUUGGCCUGGUUAAGCAUUCAGGCUUUUGAGCAGCAAUUCAGCUGAGACCCAUUCUGGAUGAGGACUCAGAGGCCUCCAGUCUGAGGAAACAAGACCAGCUGAGAAGUUGGCCAGGUGAGGUUGGCUGUGGCUUGUUCUGUCUCUCUGAUCUUCCAGUGUUCAACCCAA